UGCCACAGUGGCUUCUAGAUGUUUACUCUCAAUUUCUCUAGUUUCGGUGUUGCAGAAUGACAACAAGCUGUUCACGGAUGGCACGGGUCCAUGGACCACAGUUUGAGUAGCCCUGGAGUAGUCCAGAACCUCACAGCCAGUGUGGUCACAGUGGGUAGUGGUGUGUGAGGUAUUGGUUCCCCCUAGUGCUCAGGGCAGCUGGGUGGGACCUGGGGCAGCCAGAGCCCCCCUGGGCCAGUUGCCUGCGGUCAUAGGGAGCUGCCUGCUUUUAUCACACUGAGUCACACAGACGUUACAACUGUCUGUGGAAAAGGUUAGGGAGCACCAUAGACUGGUGGUCCUCACACUUUGAUGAGAAAACUGAGGCUCUUGAGUCAUUUCGCUGGGAUCAGAGCUUUGGAGCUGCUGCAUGCCUAUGCAGGUUGUCUUCAAUUGCCUUUGACUUGGAACUGAUGGACCUGAUGGAGAACUUUGAGCAAAGCUGACCCACUGCAGUGAAUUAAACUGUCUCUGGUCCUAGAGGAGUUCAUGCCUGAAGCCAGAGGUCAGUCUGAGUGACUCCCAGCUCCCAAUCCUGCCUUCAGCUGACUCAGUAGUUCAAAUGGGCAGAAACUUCUGUUUCUUCUUUUUGCCCUGAUGAUCGUAGUUGAAAAGUACUGUGGGUGUGGUAGAAAGAGUCAGGAUUUGGUGAAAGGAUGUCUGAGUUAAAACUCUUGCUAUGGUUAUUAGUAGCAGGAUUUCUCCCCAGUCUCUGAAGCUGCUGGAGUUUCAUUUUCCUAGUUUGUAAACCAAGUGACUUCAUCUGUGUAGUCACCUGUCUGGGGGGUGGUGAUGGGCCACCGGGCUGUCAGCUCCACAAGGACAGGACACAUGGUUACCAUUCAAUACACUAUCUGUUAAAUGAAUGAAUCUAGUGCACGGACGGCUGUUUCAGUGCAUCUGUGCCAUCUCAAAUGCUGACGGGUGCUCGCAGCCUCGUGCUGUUUGAUAGAGCGGUGUCUCAGACUUUCGUGCACUCAGUAAUAACCUG
rnacentral:lncRNA from 1 species